GUGCAAGGAAAAGGCAUGGUGAUGCCUAGAACAGGAAGGCUGCAGGACAUCUUCGACAGGCUGCUGCUCCUACUUCAGAAGGAGUUCUGAACCACUUCCAAAUCAGAUAGAGAUCUAAUUUUUUGAGCAUAGAUUCAUAAGGAGAAGACAUUCUAGGUCCUAUCUGAGUGGAUUCUGGUAGAGGUCAGGCGCUUGCGUGGCUACAUCAGAAUCUUGGGCUGUGCU
rnacentral:lncRNA from 1 species